rnacentral:misc_RNA from 1 species
AAAAAAUAGAAAUAAAUAAAUCAGCAUAUACUUAGUACGUCAAGAUUUUAUGUGAACAAUAAAUGAUAAAACCUCUUGGACAAAAUUCCUUCAAGACUGGCUUAGUUCAACCAGAAGAAUGGCAUGACACUGUAUGUGGUUUUUAUUUAAAACGGGCAAAAUAUGCCUUCCAAAUAUAAAAUGAGAAAUGGACGACUCCUGACCACUAGCAAAAGUAUUUUAAUAUUCCAAAGAAAUCUUCACGCAGUUGCUUCCUUGAGAUAAGCAAUGAGAUCCGCCCGCUCCUGUGGCUUCUUCAACCCAGGGAAAACCAUUUUUGUCCCAGGAAUAUACUUCUUCGGGUUGAGCAAGUAGUCAUAUAAUGUGUUCUCUCCCCAGUUCACAGCCAUAUUUUUGUUUGCAUUGGAGUACGAGUAACCUGCAGUUGUACCAGAUUGUCUUCCAAAGAGCCCAUUCAAGUUGGGUCCUUGUUUGUGACCAGCUCCUUUAUCGACGGUGUGACAUUGAGCACACUUUGUCUUGAAGAUCUUUUCUCCGGCUUUAGGGUUACCUGGUGGUGCUUCCGCGAAAGAUGCCAUUUCUGCGGCUUUCUACACACACAGAUGAGAGAGAGAGGGGUUUGGCG